rnacentral:rRNA from 1 species
AACGAACGCUGGCGGCAUGCCUAACACAUGCAAGUCGAACGAGACCUUCGGGUCUAGUGGCGCACGGGUGCGUAACGCGUGGGAAUCUGCCCUUGGGUCCGGAAUAACUCAGAGAAAUUUGAGCUAAUACCGGAUGAUGACGUAAGUCCAAAGAUUUAUCGCCCAGGGGAUGAGCCCGCGUAGGAUUAGCUAGUUGGUGAGGUAAAGGCUCACCAAGGCGACGAUCCUUAGCGGUCUGAGAGGAUGAUCAGCCACACUGGGACUGAGACACGGCCCAGACUCCUACGGGAGGCAGCAGUGGGGAAUAUUGGACAAUGGGCGAAAGCCUGAUCCAGCAAUGCCGCGUGAGUGAUGAAGGCCUUAGGGUUGUAAAGCUCUUUUACCCGGGAUGAUAAUGACAGUACCGGGAGAAUAA